CCUACGGGAGGCAGCAGUGAGGAAUAUUGGUCAAUGGCCGUAAGGCUGAUCCAGCCAAGUCGCGUGAAGGAAGAAGGAUCUCUGGUUUGUAAACUUCUUUUAUAGGGGAAUAAAGGUAUCCACGUGUGGAUAUUUGCAUGUACCCUAUGAAUAAGCCUCGGCUAACUCCGUGCCAGCAGCCGCGGUAAUCCGGAGGAUGCGAGCGUUAUCCGGAUUUAUUGGGGUUAAAGGGUGCGUAGGUUGUUUUUUAAGUCAGCGGUGAAAGUUUGUGGCUAAACCAUAAAAUUGCCGUUGAAACUGGAAAACUUGAGUGUGUUUGAGGUAGGCGGAAUGCGUAGUGUAGCGGUGAAAUGCAUAGAUAUCACGAAGAACUCCAGUUGCGAAGGCAGCUUACUGGGCCAUAACUGACACUGAAGCACGAAAGCGUGGGGAUCAAACAGGAUUAGAUACCCCUGUAGUC
rnacentral:rRNA from 1 species